CCCUUAGAGUUUGAUCCUGGCUCAGGACGAACGCUGGCGGCGCGCCUAACACAUGCAAGUCGAACGAGCGAGAGAGAGCUUGCUUUCUCGAGCGAGUGGCGAACGGGUGAGUAACGCGUGAGGAAUCUGCCUCAAAGAGGGGGACAACAGUUGGAAACGACUGCUAAUACCGCAUAAGCCCACGGUGCCGCAUGGCACAGAGGGAAAAGGAGUAAUCCGCUUUGAGAUGGCCUCGCGUCCGAUUAGCUAGUUGGUGAGGUAACGGCCCACCAAGGCGACGAUCGGUAGCCGGACUGAGAGGUUGAACGGCCACAUUGGGACUGAGACACGGCCCAGACUCCUACGGGAGGCAGCAGUGGGGAAUAUUGCACAAUGGGGGAAACCCUGAUGCAGCGACGCCGCGUGGAGGAAGAAGGUCUUCGGAUUGUAAACUCCUGUUGUUGGGGAAGAUAAUGACGGUACCCAACAAGGAAGUGACGGCUAACUACGUGCCAGCAGCCGCGGUAAAACGUAGGUCACAAGCGUUGUCCGGAAUUACUGGGUGUAAAGGGAGCGCAGGCGGGAAGACAAGUUGGAAGUGAAAUCUAUGGGCUCAACCCAUAAACUGCUUUCAAAACUGUUUUUCUUGAGUAGUGCAGAGGUAGGCGGAAUUCCCGGUGUAGCGGUGGAAUGCGUAGAUAUCGGGAGGAACACCAGUGGCGAAGGCGGCCUACUGGGCACCAACUGACGCUGAGGCUCGAAAGUGUGGGUAGCAAACAGGAUUAGAUACCCUGGUAGUCCACACCGUAAACGAUGAUUACUAGGUGUUGGAGGAUUGACCCCUUCAGUGCCGCAGUUAACACAAUAAGUAAUCCACCUGGGGAGUACGACCGCAAGGUUGAAACUCA
rnacentral:rRNA from 1 species